GUCCCUGUAGCGCAAUAAAUAGCGCAUUGGACCUAAUCCAAAAGUCGUGGGUUUAAAUACCAUUUGGGAUG